rnacentral:lncRNA from 10 species
AAUCAAGCCUGGGCAAUGGCGGGCGCCCCUCCCCCAGCCUCGCUGCCGCCUUGCAGUUUGAUCUCAGACUGCUGUGCUAGCAAUCAGCGAGACUCCCUGGGCAUAGGACCCUACGAGCCAGGUGCGGGAUAUAAUCUCGUGUUGCACCGUUUUUUAAGCCUGUCGGAAAAGCGCAGUAUUCUGGUGGGAGUGACCCGAUUUUCCAGGUGCCGUCCAUCACUCCUUUCUUUGACUCAGAAAGGGAACUCCCUGACCCCUUGCGCUUCCCAAGUGAGGCAAUGCCUCGCCCUGCUUCGGCUCGCGCACGGUGCACGCACCCACUGACCUGCGCCCACUGUCUGGCACUCCCUAGUGAGAUGAACCCGGUACCUCAGAUGGAAAUGCAGAAAUCACCCGUCUUCUGCGUCGCUCACGCUGGGAGCUGUAGACCGGAGCUGUUCCUAUUCGGCCAUCUUGGCUCCUCCCUCUGAAGAGUCCAACAGAAAAUUUUAAGUACCUGUUUAAAGCAAUUUACAAGAUACUGUGGAGAUUCCCAGCAAUAAAGAAUGUACUAUAGUUAAGCUGGAAUCCAACUCCUGAAUUUCUGGAGCCCUGAAGACCACUUAGUCUUACUCACAAGAAUUGAAUGGAAUGUGAAUCUACACUCAGGUGAAGCCAGGGUAUUUUGAACGUCCCUACAAGACUGAAGCACCACUGGGAAAUAAGUAAUAGAGAUGCCAUCAUUGUGGAGGUCAUAAUGCUUGUCCUGAACACGAGGGGUCUCUAGUGAGGCACCAAUUCAGCUCCUCUUCUGUGGAGAGACUACAUGGGUGCUGAAGAAACAAAGACACAACGCAGCUCCUCUCAAAGGAGUUCAGAGCUUAGCAGGGGAGACAGAACCAUGAAUGCAUAGUUACGCAUCAAUGUGCUGCACGAGCACUGAAGCCCAAGCACAAGCGGCCUGAGUCCCAAAAACAUUUGCUGACUGCUGUUCUAUCUAGGAUAUCAUCAGUGUGUAGAUGAUCAGAGUUCAUGUCAGUGUUCCUACAAGCCAAUGAAGGUUCUGAGGAGGCAGGACCAAGAAAUGGAUGUUGAUGUUUAGGAGACUGUAUGUAAUAUGUAAAUAAAAUGAAAAACAGAGAUCUGUGUUCUGAAUGGAAAAAUUCCUACUGAUGCCACCCACUAGUCUGGAACAAGUCAGUCUCAAACAUAACAACAGACACUGGGGAGCUCUCCAACAAAAGAUCACCUCCCAAAGAACAGGAUGGUGUCGAAGACUGAAUGCCAGCCUGAGGAAACAGAAAUACUACAGAAGCACGCCAGAGCCUGCAGUGUCUCCUCGCUGCCUCUCAAUGAACUGCUAAAAGACCAAGAACUCUGCUGAGAGAUAAGAAGAGGGGAGGGUGUGCUGCAGGUGGUGCUGGGAGGCCCAGACCUUCUCCUGACAUCUGGGGCUGGCUACAGGAAACAGAAACAUCACCCAGGCCUUGGCGCGAGACAGGACAGAGGCAGAUUGUGACUCAGAUCUGCAGGUGGAAAGUGGGCCUUUCGUUUUCUCCUAGGGGUAGAGCAAAGCCAGAGGGCUCAGUCAGAGGAAACCUAAGGCAGUUCAUGAUCCCUUCAACUUUAUACCAUUUCCUCAAAACUGCCUCCAAACAGUGGGCAACUGGAAAGGUGGUCUGACCUCCAGUGAUCACACAGUAUGCAUUAUAACAGAAGGCUGUCACUGUCAAUUGCAUGGCUCCCUCACUAUGCAUUCCUUCUAUCAAUUUACGACAACACACUGUAGUGAGUACCUGCACAUUGCUGGGUAUUUUGGCAGACAUUGAUAGUAGAUGAAUAACACCUGGUACUUGACCUUGAGACGCUCACUGCCUAGUGUGGGGAACCAAUGGUUGCAAUAUAAAGUAUUAACUAGAGGGAUAGAGGACUGCCUGAGGAUCUCUGCACUCAGAGGAAGGGCCAUGAGAUCAGCCAGGACAGUAGGGAGGCAGUGACUCAUGAAAUUAGCAAGUGGUGAGAAGAGGGCAGUAGAUUCAGCGGCUGCUAAAAAAGGUUACUGAACUUUUUGUUUCAUCAAUGCCAAGAAAUUAAUCUGUUUUAGCCUCUUUCAUGGCCUCUGUUUGAAAUUUUUUAACUUUUUUUUUUUUUUUAGAUUUAGGGGUACAAGGACAGUUGUAUUGCAUGAGUAUAUCAUAUAGUGGUGAAGCCUGGGCUUUAAGUGCACCUAUCACCCGAAUAGCGUACAUUGUACCCACUAGGUAGUAUUUCAUUUCUCACCCUUCUUCCACCUUUUGGAAUCUCCAGUGUUUGUUGUUCUACUCUGUAUGCCCAUGUGUACUCAUUGUUUCACUCCCACUUAUAAGUGAGAACAUGUGCUUUUGACUUUCUGUUUCUGAGUUGUUUCACUUAGGAUAAUGCAUGUUCCUGUUUUGAUUCAGUCAAAAUCCUGGGGUCAGCACUGACAAUGUGAUUAACCCCUGUCCUAAAUUCACUGCAGAGGAACUGCUCCCAUAUGACUACUUAUUACCACCCAAGCCAGAAACCACAAAGAUAUUCUGACCUCUCCUCCUUCACUCCCCACCAACUGGUGAGUAAGCUAGUCACCAAGUCUUGAUUCUACUUGCAAACAUCUUUGGAAGGGAUCUCUCACUCCACACAGUCUCUGUCAUUGCCAAGUAUACCCAUUACCUCUGCUCUGUCCUACGGCUCAUCAUUCCUCAUCUACAUGCUGCACCAACCUCCUAACUCCCAUUCCUCCCCCUCCUAGUUCACUGCCAUAGCGUAAUCUUUCUAUAUCACGGAUCAUAUUGUGUCCGAAAUUGGUGGGUUCUUGGCCUCACUUACUUCAAGAAUGAAGCUGCAGACCCUCGUGGUGAGCGUUACAGUUCUUAAAGGUGAUGUGUCUGGAGUUUGUUCCUUCUGAUCAUGUUCGGAGUUUCUUCCUUCUGGUGGGUUCGUGGUCUCGUUGGCUUCAAGAGUGAAGCUGCAAACCUUCAAGGUGAGUGUUACAGCUCUUAAGGCAGCGCAUCUGGAGUUGUUUCUUCCUCC